rnacentral:rRNA from 1 species
AAUGAACGUUGGCGGCGUGGAUUAGGCAUGCAAGUCGAGCGAGAAGCAACCCUUCGGGGGAGUGGACAGCGGCGAACGGCGUAGUAAUAGAUAGGUAACGUGCCCCAAGGUCUGGGAUAGCUGCGGGAAACUGCAGGUAAUACCGGAUAAUCUCCUAGAGUCUAGUGGCUUUAGGAGCAAAGGUGAGAUUCCGUCUUGGGAGCGGCUUAUUGAGUAUUAGCUUGUUGGUGGGGUAACGGCCCACCAAGGCUGCGAUGCUUAGGGGGUGUUAGCGCAUGGCCCCCACGACUGGGACUGAGAUACUGCCCAGACACCUACGGGUGGCUGCAGUCGAGAAUCUUCGGCAAUGGACGAAAGUCUGACCGAGCGACGCCGCGUGCGGGAUGAAGGCCCUUGGGUUGUAAACCGCUGUCAGAGGGGAUGAAAUUCUAGAAGGCAAUCCUUCUAGAUUGACAGAGCCUCAGAGGAAGCACGGGCUAAGUACG